rnacentral:lncRNA from 1 species
UGGAUCCAGUGUUGCUGUGGCUGUGGUGUAGGCUGGCAGCUGUAGCUCCAGCUCACCCCUCCAGCCUGGGAACGUCCAUGUGGCGCAAGUGUGGCCCUAAAGAGGAAGAAAAAAAACUCCCUGAUUUUUAAAGCACUGGUGAGUAAUUUGUAUUAGGAAGGAAGAGUGAGCAGGAUUGAGCAGAGGGCACAAUGGACAGAGAAAAAGGGAGGAAGGAAGGCCAAACGUGAACCAGAGGACCCAAAUCUAUGGGUUUGCUUUACCCUAUGAUCACCAGUUUGUAACCUCAGUUGUAGUCACAGUGAAAGCUGGUGUAAGAUAAGUAGGCUUUUGAUUUUUUUUUUUUGGUAUGUUUUCCCUUUUCUGUUAUUCUCAUGUUUGUGUGCAAAGCUUGAAACCCAAGCCAGGGAACUAGUCAACUUCUGUGGUCACUUAAUUGCCCCGGUUGGAUCAGACCCAACAAGUGCUGGAAAACUGAUGCUGCCCAUUGUUUUUAAAAUGUCUUCCUUUAUUUUCUUUAUAUUAUUAGCUUUAAAUAUUCCUCUGGACGCACUCUUGCCACCUCCAUGCAGUUAAGCUGGUUCAAUUUCAACGUUGUCAUAAAGUUAAUUUUUUAUAAGAUGAAUCAGGUUAUUAAAUCUAGUAAACCAUUGCCUUCAUUAUUUUGCGCAAACUUUGGCGCUGUGCAGAAUUGGCUUAGCACUACUACAUUUAGCUAAUUAAAGUGGUCAUCAGCCGAGGUACCGCGGGAGUGAGGGAUGCUGUCCUCAUGGGCUUUUCCUGGACUUGAGCAGUAGGUAGCAUUAUUAAACUUUUUUUUUUUAAUUUUAUAAAACUCUACACUCUAGAGAGACAGUUUACUAUAAAAGCGUUAUUGUCCUUCCUGUUAAACCAUUGUCUUGUGAAAUAUCUGUGCUUGGUUUUUGCUGCAAAGGCAGUUGUGCAGGAUGAGAAGAUGGAGUUGUCUCCUGCAGCUUUUUUAAAAGUAGACGAGCAAUGCGAAACACACGGCCUGGAUAGAGGAAGAGAGGUGUAAGACUCGGACAGUAAUUUUCCAUGACACUGGGACAGACUGUGGUCAGGAAUUAGCUAACGGAGAGAGAAGGCUUCAGUGGUGCGCCUGCAGCUGUGCUCUUUGGGGGAAUACAAAGUUCUUUGCCGUAGGUUGUUUGGUCAGGUGAGAUAGCACGACUUAACAGGUUGGUUUGGAAAAAGAAAUGUUGGUAGAACAAGGGCAUGCUUCCCCGCUCAGAUUUCUAGGCAGUGACAUUCAGAACUGCAGCAGGUGGUUUCUUUGUGCGGUUUUAACAUUCACUCAUUGUUUACAAGGAAGUUAAAGGGCCAUUGGUAUGUUGGAAACAACUGGGAUUGUUUUAAAAUGAUCCAGAAUUGUAGCCCUUAGCCACCUUUAAGGAAGCGUUCAUUCCUUUGGCAGGUAGUUAGUGCAUCCUACUGGGGAUUAGUCCCGUGGGAGACAGAGAUGAACAAAGGCGCAGGUUCUAAGGCGUAGACGGUGAUCCUGGUAAAUCAAAUAAAUAAAGCCCCGGGCCCUGCCUGGACCUGUGUUAGAUUGUUGCUUCCUCAACCCAUUAAAAAUGCAGUUGCUAAUGAAUGAUGAGGCCUGGCAAACACCAUCUCUCCACCCUCCCCAUGUAAUUUUUUUAUACUCUUGGAUGAAAAUGUGAUGAAAAAUAUUUCUGAUGAUGGCUCUGACCUGGAAACUUCACAGGGGCCCAGAGUCCAUCAUUUGCAACAAGAUCUGGGUGUGAAAAGCUCUGAGAUUGCAAGUGAAGUCGUUUUUGGCCACUUCAUGCUGCUUCCAUAUGGCUGUCAGCAUUUCAUUAGUCUGAUUGAUGUAGCACGUCAGUCAGCAAGAUUUUGUCCCAUGCCUGCUCCCAUCCAGUUUUGAAACAGCUGGGCUACAAAAGCUGGUGUUUUCCUUGUCUCUCUUCCCUGAAAUGAUCAGGGUACCUUUUUGUUCCAUUUUGUUUUGGGGUUUUUUUGCACUGCUCCUGAAGCACGAGGAAGUUCCCUGGCCAGGGAUGGAACCCGAGCCACGCAGUGACAAGACCAAAUAUUUAACUACUAGGCCGCCAGGGAACUCCCUGAUGUGGGUACUUUUUGCUCGUUGGUAAUAAGGGAUGAAAUUGGCAUCGUGGAUCAAAAUGAGUCAAUUUCAAAUUAUUGGUUGUUUUUGGUCUCAUAGAUGGGGCUUUAAGCAUCUUUUAGCGCCAUACACCAAAGAGGAGACAAACAGAUUUAGAUGGGCAGUAUCUCAGAUUUGCAACUUUGUGUGUGUGUGUGUGUGUGUUAUUUUAACCUCAGAUUCAACUGCAGGAGGUUAUUAUUAGAUAACGGUGAGUAUCGUGGGGUAUAGAACUUGGCAUAAACAAUAGAGUUGAAGUGUGUUCUAGAGCCAGUACUCAGACAAAUGGAAUGGUAGCUCUUGUAGCUAAUUCCUUUAAAUUCUGGUUGGUGUUAAAGCCGGUUAGCUUGUGGGUUGCUGUUAGAAGCAGGUUGAGGAGAGAGUGGUAAUUUUUCAGUCAUAAUGGCUGUACUAUAUUUGCUAGUUCAUACAAAUCAGAGAGAAGGCAAAGGACUUGGCACCAAAGUGGGUUUUGGAAGGAAUUGGGAAGUAGCAUUUGUUGCCCACCUUCUAUGGUUGUAGUAGGUCGUGGGGUAUGUUGACUGUUUACGCCCCGUUUGAUGAAAAGGGAACCGAGCUUCUGAUGAAAGGCACAGACUUGGGUCUGAUGGCUGAUAAAUUACCUAGAGCUAGGAUCCGCAGGUCAACGCAAAUGUGUCAAGCUCCUGAGUCUGAGUUGUUUGUUCUGCCGUGCUGGUUUUCCUUGAGAACUCGUUUCUGUGUGUAGACUGGCCUCCAAGAAGGUUAGAAUAUGUGGAAGAGAUAUGAUGAAUGACCUUGGCUUGACCCUUUCCCAUGGCAAUCUCAGUCAGACAGUGGCGCUCCCGUUCUUCAUACGUGCUCACGUUAUCUUGGAACCCAUCUGCGGUCAUUUGACGGAGCUUGCGCUGAAUUGCAUUGCUGCCUCCUCUGGCAGACCUGGUUACGUUGGUGUGGCAGUGGACUCUGUGUGAUCGUCCACACAGCUCGCGAGAUACCAUAUUUCACACUUGAGAGCAGUGGUGGGGUGUUCAGGCUCUGGAGUUCAACUCCUCCCCUCUCCUUCCUUUCCCUCCUCCUCUCUCUUUGAAACCUGGAGUGUGUAAGAGCUCUAGUUGCUCUGCUUCCUUGCCAGCAUUUUGUGUGGUCUUUAUUUAUUUAUUUAUUUAAUUUCUAAAAUAUUUUAGUCAUGGAAGUAGUAGCGGUGUCGUAUUAUCUCAUUGUAUCUUUAACUUGCAUUUCCCUGAUGACUAAGGAGUUCAGGCCUUAUCCAGUGGUUGAGUUUUUCUUUUUCUAAUAUGUGGAAGAGUUCAUGGAAGAUGGUGUUUUUAGUUUCUUAAAUGUUCGGUAGAGUUUACUGACCGAAAUAGACAAAAUAGACACAGAAUUUUGAGAAUUUUCUUUAAACACGGAGAAUUGUUCAGGUUUUUUCUCUCUCCUUGCAACAGUUUUUAAGUAAUGUCUUCCUGGGAAUUUGUCUUUUUUUGCCCUUAUCCUUUUAAGAUCUUUUUAGGGUUUGUAGGAUAUGGAUUGAACCUGCAACCUCAUGGUUCCUACUCAGAUUCUUUUCUGCUGCUCCACAUCGGGAACUCCCGCAAACACACUUUUGCAAGGAGCAUGUUAUAUGUUGUAUCCAGUCUUAUAGUCUUCGUUUUUUGAUUAUAGUUUUUAGUCCAUUUAUCUUUAAUGUAAUCACAGGUAUAGUUGGGGUUAAAUGUACUACUUUAUUAUGGACUUUGUAUCUAAUUUAUUUUACAUUCCUUUUUCUCUCCUUUUUUGUUUACUUUUUAUUCUACUUCCCUUUUCUAUUUACAUGUUAAAUUUGUAUUCUCUUAGCAGUAAUUGAGAUUGCAGCCUAUGUAUUUGUCUUAUUAACGUCUUAGGUAAAUUUGUACUUGAUUAUUAACUGGACAGUUCGGGUCUUAGACUACUUUAAUCCCUAGGUUAUGUGUCAUUAUUAUCAAUAUAGUAAUUCUCACUGGGUAUUCUCAAAUUCUUAAAAUAUUUGUAUUAUUAUUUAGAUUCUUUUCCCAUAUAUUUAGCCUUUAUGUUGAUCCAUUACUUCCUGCAUCUCCAGAUUUCUGUCUAGGGCCAUUUUCCUCCUUUCCAGAGAACAUCCUUCAGUAUUUCUUUUAGUGUAGAUCUGCUUCUGAUAUAUUUCCUCAGCUUUUGUUUAUUUAAAAAUUGGGUUCACUUUUAUUUUUGAAGGAUAUUUUUAUUGGGUAUGGUAGCACCAGAUACGAGCCCCUACCUUUUGGCCUUUUAACUUUUCCAGAUGUUGGCCCCCAGAAUUCUCGAUUGUGGUGUCCCUUUGAUUCCUUCAAAGCGGUGUGUGUGUGUGUGUGUGUGUGUGUUGCUGUCGUCGUCGUGCACCUUUUCAAAUUGUUCCAGUGGGAGGGUUUGUCCAGACAACCUAGUUGCCAUUGUGUUGCUGGGAGCAGAAGUUCUGGAAACAUUUAAAACAGCACAGGGCACAUUGUCUGGACCUUAACAGAUGUUGUUUGUUAGUUUUAGUUUCCAGAUUUGUUUUCUUUUAUUAGACUGUAAAUGCUUUGAGGGCCAAGUCUUUGUCUUUAUCUAUUCUUAUUCUUUAUAUUUAGCACAGGAUCUGGUUGUUAUUAAGCAAUGGUUAAACGGCUGGCUGUGCAGUGAGCUCUUCCUUCUGUGGCUUGGCCUUCACCUCUGACCUGUGUGUGUUCCUGGGGCAGGUUUUCUCAACCUCAACACUGUUGACAUUUUUUUUUUUUUUAAUUAUACUCAAGUAUAGUUGAUUUGCAAUGUUGUGUUAAUUUCUCCUGUUGACACUUGAGUGCAAUGAUUCUUUGCUGUGGGGUCUGUCCUCAGCAUUGUAGGAUAUUUUGCAGCACUCCUGGCCUUGACCCUCUAGGUAUCAGUAGCAGGCUAACCGCAGCUGCAGCCACUGACACUCUCUCUAGCUGUUUGCAAAUAUCUGCUGGGGGUAACUGUGUCUGGUUGAGAACCACUGGGGUAAUGUGUAUGGUGCUUGAUAAAGGCCGGCUUUGCAGUUGUGUUUCUGAUGUCGACUUUCCUUGUCACUGUAGGGUUUGAGACCGCCAAAUCUUUUGCCCUCCAUGGAGCACACGUGAUCCUGGCCUGUAGGAAUAUGACGAGAGCCAACGAAGCUGUGUCGCGCAUUUUAGGAGAAUGGGUAAGUGAGCACUUGACUAGUUUUUGUUUUUGUUUUUAAUUUUCAAAUGCACAUACUGGGAUCAACACAUGGAGGUUUCUAGAGUGCGUAAAGUUUAUUGCUCUCGGAAUAAUGUUUUCUUUGUUUUUAAGGUCAUAUUCACUUUGUUUAUUUUAUGAAUGAAAGGACAAGCAAGCCCGUUUAUAGUUCGUUGUCAGUGUCCUCUGCUUCAUUAGUCAGAGGUUUGAAACCGUUUACUCACUUAGCUCAUUUAUUAAGAAAAAUAAAAUGUGGUUAACGCCCAUGAGUGCAACUGAGAGGUUGUUAUGCUCAUGGUUUUUAAGAUGACAAAAGAGCAGGCUUUACCCCUGACUGUGGUUUUUCCUUUUUGCUUUCCUCUCUCUGAGCAGAGCUUGGUGCUGAUGAGUCUGUGCACAAACGUUUGUUGAGGGCCUUCAGUGCUCUUGGGUUUAAGGGCACAGCACCAAGUAACACAGAGUAUGUGCCCUCCUGGGCUUCUAGGUAGGAGAAACAGACCAUGAAGGGAUAAUUACAUUCAAUAUUGAACGUAGUGUCAAGUUGUUCGAAAUGCAGGGCAGGACAGUAAAGCAGACUGAGGGACCAGGUGUUGACAAUGUGGCCUAUUUCAGACGGGGUGGUCAACAGAGACCCCUCUAAAUUGGUGAGACUAAAAAAAAAAAAAAAAAAAAAAAAA